rnacentral:rRNA from 1 species
ACUCCUAUGGGAGGCAGCAGUGGGGAAUAUUGCACAAUGGGCGCAAGCCUGAUGCAGCGACGCCGCGUGCGGGAUGACGGCCUUCGGGUUGUAAACCGCUUUUGAUCGGGAGCAAGCCUUCGGGGAGUUACCUCGA